GACAUUUCUCAAUAAAUAAUAAAAUAUAUCAAGUGCAUAUUGUAUACUGAUUUUUAACUCAUUAUAAAGGCUUCAAAUUCAAGGAAGACAUGAAAAUGAUGUGUCAUACUUCAGUUGCAGUAUUUUGAUGCAUUUGUAUUUAUUAGAUGAAUUUAAUUAAAGGCCAAAACUUGGAGCAUGAUAAGUAAACUUCAAAUAUAAGAACAAGGGCAAUAUUGGCACAUGUAUUCAUAGAAAUAAAUUUUAAGAUAGAUUAAGAUGUCCACAAUUUUGCUAUUUAAAUAAUAAUGCAAUAUAUAAUUUAAUCCAAUUAGACUUGUAUAGUUG
rnacentral:misc_RNA from 1 species